AAAUGACAAGAUGGUCCAACGGCAAGAAAGGGACCGCAGAAUUGCGUUUCGCCUAUUGUGCACGGGAUUGAUUCCUGCUAGACGUAGCUUUUAAGGUUAAAAUAUUGUUUUGGUUCUUCUUCCAGCCCACUCCUCUAGAGUACCAGGUCGGAUCUACUUCUUUGACCCGUAACUGAUCGACUCUUCAACUUCCACUUGAGUUUCCAGG